rnacentral:lncRNA from 1 species
ACUCUCUUCUCUUUUUCUUCAGGUGAAAAUGUGAGUAAUUCACUUUUGCCUGGAGGCAUUUACACAUGGAGUACAACUUUCUGCAAAUCUUGGCAUAUCCUAUGAACUAUUGAAAUUCUCUGGGCUCUUUCUGGCAGGAGUAAGAAAGCCAAGAAGUUCUAUUUCCAACACAGACUGCAUGAAUUUCAAGUUGUUUCAUACUGCUUUUGGAAGUUUUCCAAUGAAAGUAAAGAGCAUUUAUAACUACUUACUGUAUAAGAGUUGUAGAUGUUUAUGGUUAAUCUAAAGAUUUAA